rnacentral:rRNA from 1 species
AGCGAACGCUGGCGGCAGGCUUAACACAUGCAAGUCGAGCGGGCAUCCUUGUGGUGUCAGCGGCAGACGGGUGAGUAACGCGUGGGAACGUGCCCUUCGGUUCGGAAUAACUCAGGGAAACUUGAGCUAAUACCGGAUACGUGCGAGAGCAGAAAGGUUUAUCUGCCGAAGGAUCGGCCCGCGUCUGAUUAGCUAGUUGGUGAGGUUAUGGCUCACCAAGGCGACGAUCAGUAGCUGGUCUGAGAGGAUGAUCAGCCACACUGGGACUGAGACACGGCCCAGACUCCUACGGGAGGCAGCAGUGGGGAAUAUUGGACAAUGGGGGCAACCCUGAUCCAGCCAUGCCGCGUGAGUGAUGACGGCCUUAGGGUUGUAAAGCUCUUUUCUACGGGACGAUAAUGACGGUACCGGAGGAAUAAGCCCCGGCUAACUUCGUG